UGGGGAAUAUUGCACAAUGGGCGGAAGCCUGAUGCAGCGACGCCGCGUGGGGGAUGAAGGCCUUCGGGUUGUAAACUCCUUUCGACAGGGACGAAGCUUUUGUGACGGUACCUGUAUAAGAAGCACCGGCUAACUACGUGCCAGCAGCCGCGGUAAUACGUAGGGUGCGAGCGUUGUCCGGAAUUACUGGGCGUAAAGAGCUCGUAGGUGGUUUGUCGCGUCGUCUGUGAAAUUCCGGGGCUUAACUCCGGGCGUGCAGGCGAUACGGGCUGACUUGAGUGCUGUAGGGGAGACUGGAAUUCCUGGUGUAGCGGUGAAAUGCGCGGAUAUCAGGAGGAACACCGAUGGCGAAGGCAGGUCUCUGGGCAGUAACUGACGCUGAGGAGCGAAAGCAUGGGUAGCGAACAGGAUUAGAUACCCUGGUAGUCCAUGCCGUAAACGGUGGGCGCUAGGUGUAGGGGGCUUCCACGUCUUCUGUGCCGUAGCUAACGCAUUAAGCGCCCCGCCUGGGAGUACGGCCGCAAGGCUA
rnacentral:rRNA from 1 species